rnacentral:rRNA from 1 species
UACGGGGGGAGCAAGCGUUGUCCGGAUUUACUGGGCGUAAAGGGAGCGUAGGUGGAUAUUUAAGUGGGAUGUGAAAUACUCGGGCUUAACCUGGGUGCUGCAUUCCAAACUGGAUAUCUAGAGUGCAGGAGAGGAAAGUAGAAUUCCUAGUGUAGCGGUGAAAUGCGUAGAGAUUAGGAAGAAUACCAGUGGCGAAGGCGACUUUCUGGACUGUAACUGACACUGAGGCUCGAAAGCGUGGGGAGCAAACAGG